GAAAAGGAAAAAGCAGGAGAAGAAGGGCAUAGCUGGCCCUCUCUAAGAUGGAGUGGCAAAUCCACAUGGCUUUGGAGCACAGUGGGCCAGGUGGGAACUGAGGCAAACUGAGGAGGCAGAAAAUACUUCAAGAGUUUCAAAUUAGAAAUGCACAACUGCCCGCUGCCCCAAAUGGUGUGAAAGUGAAGAAUGAGCAAACCAUCUCCAAAGGGCUGAAUUUGUCUUACAGGUGCCAGUUUAUAAGGUGUUCCCAGGACCAUGUUAGAGACCAGGUGUAGUCAUGUCACACCUUGCACCUGGGUGUGGCUGUGUGUCCAGUUCUCACCAACUGAAU